AGGGGUGUGGCUCAGUGGUAGAGUGCUCGCCUAGCAUGUGUGAGGCACUGGGUUCAAUCCUCAGCAUCACAU
rnacentral:tRNA from 1 species